rnacentral:misc_RNA from 1 species
UCCUAGCCACGAUUGCAGCAAUUGUUUGAGCUCAUUUUGUAUGGUUUUGGUUGCGGUGGCGAAGCCGCCGCAACCAAAACCAUACAAAAUAGCGAGUGCGGAAAGCGUGAAUAAGC